CUUAGCAGGAGUGGGAGGGGGGGUGCCCAGCUCCCCCAGUUCCCUGGCGGGCGACCCUCCUCCAGAGGGUCCUUCGGGCUGGGGCAGAGGGGCUCUGCUGCAGGCGGGCGCAGGAAGCACCCGGGUGCGCCCUCCUCCCAGCCCUCCUGCGGCGCGCUCUGUACCAGGGUGUCGCUCCUCUCCCUUCAUUCCGUCCCCACCUUUUGAACAUUCCUCUGGCCUGUCUGUCUGUCUGGGGUUUCCGGCCUCCCCUAUCCUGCGUCUUCUGGUACGUGCAGGGCGUAUAAGGAGGAGGUGUGAUGAGCAUAAGGAAGGAAAAACAGUGACUUCACUCAGCUGCCGGGUAAAGAGGCCAUGUUACUUAACCUCUCUGAGGUCGAGCCUGCUUAUCUUAAUAGCUCUGUGACAAGACACAUUGAUCUGUGCCUGGGUUUCCUUAUUUGGAAAAUGGACAUGGCAACACCGCCUACUACACAGGUUGUGUGUCAUAUCCAAGAAGUAAUUGCCAAGUCCAAUGUCAUGAAGAUUUUCCCCUAUAUUUUCUUCUAAGAGUUUUAUAGUUUUAGCUUUUAUGCUUUGAUCUCUGAUCCAUUUUGAGUUGAUUUUUGUACACGGGACUAGGUAGGGAUCUAACUUGACACUUUUACAUGUGGAUAUCCAAUUUUUCCAACAUCAUUUGUUGAAGAAACUGCCCUUCCCCAUUGUGUAACUUGGUACCCUUGUCAAAAAUCAUUUGGCCAUAUA